rnacentral:lncRNA from 1 species
GUAGUUUUGCCUCCUGUGUUGCUCCUGUAUGGACCCUGGACAUCAGUCAUCAGCUUGCAGUGCCUUGGGCAGUCAAUGGACCUUGUUUUCAGCACACAACUUGGAUGCUGCAGGACUACACUUAGGUUUAUCAAGACUUGCUAGUUCCCAUCUCUACCAUGCCAUGUGAAAACUACUCCAAGGCAGAGCCAUGCUCCAAAGAACUCAGCCCAAAAAUACUGCUCACAACUGUGCUUGCUGAACCUAUUCACCCAGCAAUGAAUACUCCAGAUGACUUCAAUCUCAAAGGCUCUCCAGGAGAAAGAAGACCAAAAUGGCAUGACUGUAACCUGAUCUGAAAGGCAAGGUCUGUCUGUGCUUGUAAACAAGGUGAUCUCAGACUGGCCAUUUUAAGCGGUGAGUUAAGUGUGGUUCAGUGUUGUGUAUGCUGCAGAAAGCCCUAUAUGAAAUCCCCUAUUCUUUCAUGUGUUUUCAAAAGCCAGUUGAAUGUUAAUCAAGGUAUAAUCUUCCAGCUAGUCCUAGUAAAGGAAGAUUUUUUUAUUUAUUAAUUUAUAUAUCUUUAAAAUCAAUCUAGAUUGCUAAAUACAUGGUAAUAUUUUAAUUAGUGAGGAAAAAAUAACAUAAUUGAAGCAAAUCAGGAUUUCAGUUUUUCAAUGUCUGUACAUUCAGGAAGUGGAACAUAAACAACCCAUGCCAAAUCACUAUCAAUGGAAGACCAAAGUUGUUACUGUUCUGAAUUGACUUCAACUUCAGUUUGUUACAUGCACAGAAAAAAAAAAAAAAAAAAAGUAAUAAAAAGGACUCUUGGAAAAAUAAAAAGGUAGGC